rnacentral:rRNA from 1 species
AGGGGGGCUGCUCCUAGUACGAGAGGACCGGAGUGGACGCAUCACUGGUGUUCUGGUUGUCAUGCUAAUGGCACUGCCCGGUAGCUAAAUGCGGAAGAGAUAAGUGCUGAAAGCAUCUAAGCACGAAACUUGCCCCGAGAUGAGUUCUCCCUGAGACCUUGAGUCUCCUGAAGGAACGUUGAAGACGACGACGUUGAUAGGUCGGGUGUGUAAGCGCAGCGAUGCGUUGAGCUAACCGAUACUAAUGAACCGUGAGGCUUAACCUUACAACGCCGAAGGUGUUU